rnacentral:rRNA from 1 species
UUGGAGGGCAAGUCUGGUGCCAGCAGCCGCGGUAAUUCCAGCUCCAAUAGCGUAUAUUAAAGUUGUUGCAGUUAAAAAGCUCGUAGUUGAAUUUCGGAAUCAAUAUAUUGGUCGUGCCUCCGGUAUGCACUGGUAUUAUUGAUUUCUACCUUCUGACGAACUAUGAUGUCAUUAAUUUGGUGUCAUGGGGAAUCAGGACUGUUACUUUGAAAAAAUUAGAGUGUUUAAAGCAGGCACACGCUUGAAUACAUUAGCAUGGAAUAAUGAAAUAGGACGUUUGACCCUAUUUUGUUGGUUUCUAGGAUCGACGUAAUGAUUAAUAGGGAUAGUUGGGGGCAUUAGUAUUCAAUUGUCAGAGGUGAAAUUCUUGGAUUUAUUGAAGACUAACUACUGCGAAAGCAUUUGCCAAGGAUGUUUUCAUUAAUCAAGAACGAAAGUUAGGGGAUCGAAGACGAUCAGAUACCGUCGUAGUCUUAACCAUAAACUAUGCCGACUAGGGAUCGGAUGAUGUUAAUUUUUUAAUGACUCAUUCGGCGCCUUACGGGAAAC